AGUGGCGGACGGGUGAGUAACACGUAGGUAACCUGCCCAGAAGCGGGGGGCAACAUUUGGAAACAGAUGCUAAUACCGCAUAACAACGUUGUUCGCAUGAACAACGCUUAAAAGAUGGCUUCUCGCUAUCACUUCUGGAUGGACCUGCGGUGCAUUAGCUUGUUGGUGGGGUAACGGCCUACCAAGGCGAUGAUGCAUAGCCGAGUUGAGAGACUGAUCGGCCACAAUGGGACUGAGACACGGUCCAUACUCC
rnacentral:rRNA from 1 species